AGUGGCGGUCGGAGCUAUGGACAGAUUCUAACCACUUUCCUACUGUCCCUUUGUGGCUUCAAGAAGCAUUGAUUCCUCUUCUCUUUUAUCCAUGUUACCCGCAACUACCAGAAGCUCUUCUUCUCCUCCUCUCUUUUUUGCUUCAAGAACCAUUGAUUCCUCCUCUCUUUUAUCCAUGUUAUACUGCACGCUUUGCUCAUCAUCUACCACUGCUAAGCUUCCUCACCAUUCUCAUCACUGUCCUCUGCAUCUUCGUCAACAUCCUUUAUGAAUGAAUCCAAUAUAACCUGUCGUCUUCUUCACUUUCCUCUUAUUCUUCUUCUUAUCCCACUAGUUCUCUUUCCUCCUUUUCUUUUGGUAGAUUUUUGGUGGGAUAUUCCGGUGCUGCGCGGUCGCAAUCGCCCUCUUCGUAGCCGUUGCCGAGAUGGAAUGGAGUUUUAUGAUAAAAUUUUGUGAUAAGCUGGAAGGGGCAUGCUACAUAUCUUUGUUGCUGUGAUGACAACAGUUUUGUGAAAUGUCUGAUAAAGAGUGGGCAGCAGAAAGAAUUUGAUUUUGUUUAAGGGGGUUGCAAGUUACCUUCUUAUGGCAUGUGGUUUGACGUACGUGAUCUCAAAAACUAUGGGACUUUAAAAAUGGUUUGAUUGCUCAUUUUUCACACUAAAGAACAAAAGAUAAGGCCUCAUGUGCCAAUUCUAUGCCUGGAUGAGUGGUGUUUAGCAUGGUGAACCUUGGAAUCUAAAUUCACAAUCAUGUAAUUUUAGUUCUUUGGUUUCAAAUAUCAUCAAAAUUAAAUAUAUAUGGAGUAACUUUUCAAGGUUGGACUAGGUAAUUGGCAACUUGAGGCAAGAGAUGAUGCUUUUAACUUUGCUCCUUUGAUCAUGCCAAGGUGUGCCCCCCACCAAACCAAAAAAAAAAAAAAAUGGAGCCAACCCAAAAUACAAUGCACACAAACAUAUCACAUAUAUAUAGGUCAAGUUAAAGUUGCAUGUUUUAUUCUGAAUUGGAUGAUGUAGAUCCAAUAUUGAUAAUCCAAGCUAUUAGAUGUGAUCUACUAUUACCUUUAAACUACUUAUAUCCAAAAAAAUCAUGUGAUUUGGAGUUCCCUAGCCCCUGCAUAUAGCAGUCAAAAAGUUUCAUGUUAUUGAAAUUAUUCAAUUUUACUUUAUACAUAAGUUAAAGAGCAUCAAACCAUAUGAUUUUUGGUGCGUAAGUAAUUUAGUGAUAGUAGAUAACAUCCAAUGGCUUGGAUCAUCAAUAUGGGACCCUCAUCGUCUAAUUCAAAAAGUAACUUUUAUGUGUGUGUGUGUGUGUGUAUGUAUGCAUGUGUAUGUAUGUAUGUGUGUGUAUAUAUUGAUUAUGUUCUAGUAUUGUGUAUAGCUAUUUAUGGCUACAGCUAUUCUGGGUGUUUUGAUGCAUUGGUUUCUUGAAGCGUGCACGCCAGGAGAAGGAAAUAACAAAAAGCAAGUAGUUAGAGAUCUAGAGGUAAGCAAUUAGUUCAUUGGCAGCAAAAGCCAUUCAACUGCAAAGGCUAUGGUAGAUGUUAGUUUUUACGUACAACAUAUGUUUGUCUCCUAAGUUCAGUUAUUUUGUAAUGUUCAUUGUUCUUUAUUCUGUGACUUUCUCAAGCUUGAAUUGUAAGUAUGAGAGCAUCCAAGUCAAUCAAAUUUUAUAAUAAGUUCUUUGCAAUGGUGAAAAAUGAAACAAUGAACUAAUUUAAUAAUUAUUACUAAAUUAGUCUUGUGAGAACUUAAACAGCAAAGAGGUCAGCAUACAGCUACUUACAUUCAACUCUUUAACACAUUCUUCAUCCUCUCUUUCUUAUUCUCCACAUAACCGGAGGAAUCUUCGCCGUGCAUGGCUUUUAUAAAAAACGAAGCUAGGGUGACAGCUUAGACUCCAAGUCUUUAUAUAUACCAUAUGGCCUAGUCUAGUACCAAUUCAACCUCCACCCUCCAUUUUAUGUAAACGCCUUAAAAGAAGUAAAUGAUCCAUAUGUUCUUCUUCCUGCCAACAUUGUAAACAGGAUCUUAAUUAUGAUCCAAAUUCUGGAUCAUAUGACCCGGACUAAAAUGACCUCCAGUGGUCUAUAUAGUCCUUGGAUUUUCUGGACAUUUUUAUCAUGUCUGCAGUCAUUUUCUUGAUCUCCUUCUUGCAGUUAACCCCUUUAUGUCUUUGGAUUCUAUAUCCUGUAAUACUUUUGGUGGUUGGAGGACCACUGCAGCACUGGAAAGAUGACUAGCCUUGGAAAUGUAAACAUGAAACACAAUGAAGGUUUUGAGAGUAUUCUAGGAAGUAAAGUGUUAUGAUAGCUAUUAAUUUGAUUUGUAGUCAUGUUUUUCUGCUGCAUCAUUCUAUGAGAUGUUAAUGAGAUGACUAACUCAUGCCACAAUGAACUCGAGUUGUAUGGUCAGUUUGAAUUCUUCCUCCAUGGUAGUCUAUAGACUCUAUACAUUCAAUUUCAUGGACUUUAAACCAUUUGGAGAACAGAGUUCCUUUCUUGACUUUUCGUGUGAGUUCAACCAUCCUACUCCUUCAUAUAGUUAUCGAAGUCACGCAUGCCAUAACCAGCCAUCACCAACCUGAGAGAAAGCAUUCUAAUGCACACCUUCAAUACCGAGGUCUCAGAUAGACGGAAUGCCAACAGACUUACGAUUCUUUUGCAGACCUUUAUUGCUGCAAAUCAUGUAAAACGAGAUUGCAGCAAAAGAUGCAACUGUUAUACCUGGCCGGAAUCCUUUUUUCUAUCUUGAGAUGAAUGCCUCUGGUUGUUAGUCUGGCUAUUACAAUAUUAUUCCUAUUCUUAUAUUUUCUUGACUGCUCUAAGUCAUUAUUUAUGAGAAGUGUGUCUUGAAUAAAUUCAUUUUUUCCUCCUAGCUUUUUAAAUGUGAGUCAAUAUGUGUGAUGUAUUCUCUAUGGGGUUAUGAUUAUAUAUUAUUCUCUAUGGGGUUUGAAUCUUUGACCUUAGGUUAACAGCCACAAGCUUCAACUAACUAAGAUGUGGAGUGGGAAAAUGUGAGGUGCGGAGACUGGAUCUGGAAUAGGGAAACAUGCGAUGUGGGAGCAGCACAGACAUCGUGACACACCUCAUGCACAAGCACAUUGGCGGAUUUGAUAUGAUAUAUUAGAAUAGAUUUUUUUUUUUUUUGCUAAA